rnacentral:rRNA from 1 species
UUUUCAUGGAGAGUUUGAUCCUGGCUCAGGACGAACGCUGGCGGCGUGCCUAAUACAUGCAAGUCGAGCGCGGGAAGCAGUCUGAUCCCUUCGGGGUGACGAUUGUGGAACGAGCGGCGGACGGGUGAGUAACACGUGGGCAACCUGCCUUGCAGACUGGGAUAACCUCGGGAAACCGGGGCUAAUACCGGAUAACCAAUCUCAUCGCAUGGAGAGAUUGUAAAAGUAGGGAUUAUCCUUACACUGCAAGAUG